AAUAGAUGACGCCGUUGACUUUUUCUCACAUGUUUGACCAUUCGUCUUAUUUAAAAAAUUUACGUAAUUGUAAUUUAUUUUGUUAUGAGUUGUUUUAUCACUCAUAGUAUUUUAAGUGUGAUUUAUAUCUAUAUACAUUUAAAUAAAAUAUGAAGAAUAAGAAGAAUGGUCAAACAUGUGAGAUAAAGUCAACGGCGUCAUCUAUU
rnacentral:pre_miRNA from 1 species